rnacentral:rRNA from 1 species
CCUUAGUAACGGCGAGUGAAGCGGCAAAAGCUCAAAUUUGAAAUCUGGUACCUUCGGUGCCCGAGUUGUAAUUUGGAGAGGGCAACUUUGGGGCCGUUCCUUGUCUAUGUUCCUUGGAACAGGACGUCAUAGAGGGUGAGAAUCCCGUGUGGCGAGGAGUGCGGUUCUUUGUAAAGUGCCUUCGAAGAGUCGAGUCUCCAGGGAAUGCAGCUCUAAGUGGGUGGUAAAUUCCAUCUAAAGCUAAAUAUUGGCGAGAGACCGAACCGUCACAAGUACAGUGAUGGAAAGAUGAAAAGAACUUUGAAAAGAGAGUGAAAAAGUACGUGAAAUUGUUGAAAGGGAAGGGCAUUUGAUCAGACAUGGUGUUUUGUGCCCUCUGCUCCUUGUGGGUAGGGGAAUCUCGCAUUUCACUGGGCCAGCAUCAGUUUUGGUGGCAGGAUAAAUCCAUAGGAAUGUAGCUUGCCUCGGUAAGUAUUAUAGCCUGUGGGAAUACUGCCAGCUGGGACUGAGGACUGCGACGUAAGUCAA